rnacentral:tRNA from 1 species
GGGCCCGUAGCUCAGCCAGGACAGAGCGCCGGCCUGCGGAGCCGGAGGUCCCGGGUUCAAAUCCCGGCGGGCCCGCCA